UUAAAUAUGGCGGAAUUGGUAUACGGCAGCAGAUUGACGGAAGCGCCUCUAAAGUCGUCAUUAAAUAUCUCUUGAGGAUUAAAGGUUCGAAUCCCUUUAUUUAAG
rnacentral:tRNA from 1 species